rnacentral:rRNA from 1 species
UACGGAGGUGGCUAGCGUUACUCGGAAUUAUUGGGUGUAAAGGGCAAGUAGGCGGUCUAAUAAGUGGGUGGUGAAAUACUCCGGCUCAAUCGGAGAACUGCCUUCCAAACUGUUAGACUUGAGUGUGACAGAGGAAAAUGGAAUUCUCGGUGUAAGGGUGAAAUCUGUAGAUAUCGAGAAGAACACCAGCGGCGAAGGCGAUUUUCUGGGUCACUACUGACGCUAAAUUGCGAAAGCUAGGGGAGCAAACAGAAUUAGAUACUCUGGUAGUCCUAGCCGUAAACGAUGAGCACUAGGUGUCAGCUCCUUUAGGAGUUGGUGCCGCAGCUAACGCAUUAAGUGCUCCACCUGGGGACUACGGUCGCAAGGCUAAA